rnacentral:piRNA from 1 species
UUUAGUGAUCGCACGCAAAUU